rnacentral:rRNA from 1 species
GGUUAAGUGAAUAAGGGCGCACGGUGGAUGCCUUGGCACUAGGAGCCGAUGAAGGACGGGACUAACACCGAUAUGCUUUGGGGAGCUGUAAGUAAGCUAUGAUCCAGAGAUUUCCGAAUGGGGGAACCCAAUAUCUUUUAUAGGAUAUUACUUUUCAGUGAAUACAUAGCUGAUUAGAGGUAGACGCAGAGAACUGAAACAUCUUAGUACCUGCAGGAAGAGAAAGAAAAUUCGAUUCCCUGAGUAGCGGCGAGCGAAACGGGAAGAGCCCAAACCAACAAGCUUGCUUGUUGGGGUUGUAGGACUCCGUUAUGGUAGUCUGUUAGUAUAGUUGAAGGAUUUGGAAAAUUCCGCUAAAGAGGGUGAAAGCCCCGUAGACGAAAUGCUGACAACACCUAGGAGGAUCCUGAGUACGGCGGAACACGAGAAAUUCCGUCGGAAUCCGCGGGGACCAUCCCGCAAGGCUAAAUACUCCCUAGUGACCGAUAGUGAACCAGUACCGUGAGGGAAAGGUGAAAAGCACCCCGGAAGGGGAGUGAAAUAGAUCCUGAAACCGUGUGCCUACAACAAGUCAAAGCUCGUUAAUGAGUGAUGGCGUGCCUUUUGUAGAAUGAACCGGCGAGUUACGAUUGCAUGCGAGGUUAAGUCGAAGAGACGGAGCCGCAGCGAAAGCGAGUCUGAAUAGGGCGAAUGAGUAUGUAGUCGUAGACCCGAAACCAUGUGAUCUACCCAUGUCCAGGUUGAAGGUGCGGUAAAACGCACUGGAGGACCGAACCCACGUACGUUGAAAAGUGCGGGGAUGAGGUGUGGGUAGCGGAGAAAUUCCAAACGAACUUGGAGAUAGCUGGUUCUCUCCGAAAUAGCUUUAGGGCUAGCCUCGGAAUUGAGAAUGAUGGAGGUAGAGCACUGUUUGGACUAGGGGCCCAUCUCGGGUUACCGAAUUCAGAUAAACUCCGAAUGCCAUUCAUUUAUAUCCGGGAGU